rnacentral:rRNA from 1 species
UACGAAGGGGGCUAGCGUUGCUCGGAAUUACUGGGCGUAAAGGGCUCGUAGGCGGCCAACUAAGUCCGACGUGAAAUCCCAAGGCUUAACCUUGGAACUGCGUCGGAUACUGGAUGGCUUGAAUUCGGGAGAGGGAUGCAGAAUUCCAGGUGUAGCGGUGAAAUGCGUAGAUAUCUGGAGGAAUACCGGUGGCGAAGGCGGCAUCCUGGACCGACAUUGACGCUGAGGAGCGAAAGCUAGGGGAGCAAACGGGG